rnacentral:tRNA from 1 species
GCUCGGGUGGCGAAAUUGGUAAACGCGCUAGAUUCAGGGUCUAGUGUCCAAUUAGACGUGCUGGUUCGAUUCCAGUGUCGGGCACAA